AAACAAAAGUAAAAGCAAUGAAAAGGAGGUUCUUUCCGAGCAAAUCCGAGAUAAACUAGCAUGGGAAGAGAUUCAGAAUAACUAGCAUGGGGAGAGACGCAGAGAGCUGCUCAUUGUAGACUUGUAGUCCUUGAAAAAUAAAGGGGGAAAAAGGAAGAAAAGUUUAUCCUUGCACAGUGCACUCUCCUCACAUACCCUCUUCGUCCCUCCCUGCCCUCCUCCAUAAAAAGCUUCAAUCUUGGAAUCCUUGUGGGGGGUGCGAAAUGUCCUAAGAAACAGACCCUCCCUUUCCCGUUGUAAUCUCUUCUUUCCCGGAGAACAGAAAGGGGUAGCGAGGGGAUGGAGCGGCGGAAUGAUGGCUGUGACGGUGGAGGCAAGAUCAAGAUUGGUGUCUGCGUCAUGGAGAAGAAGGUGUGGUGUUCCCCCAUGGAGCAGAUUCUUGAGAGGCUGCGGGCGUUCGGGGAGUUCGAGAUUAUAAUUUUUGGUGACAAAAUCAUUCUUGAAGAUCCUAUUGAAAGCUGGCCUCUAUGUGACUGUCUGAUUGCCUUUUACUCGGCUGGGUAUCCACUAGAAAAGGCAGAGAAAUAUGCUGCUUUACGCAGGCCAUUUUUGGUCAAUGAGUUGGAUCCCCAAUACCUCCUCCAUGAUCGCAGCAAAGUAUAUGAGCACCUUAAAUUGUUCGGAGUUCCUGUUCCAACUUAUGCUGUUGUCAGAAGAGAAUACCCUAACCAAGAGUUAAAGUACUUUGUUGAGCAAGAUGAUUUUAUUGAGAUCCAUGGAAAGCGAUUUUACAAGCCUUUUGUGGAGAAACCAAUCGAUGGAGAUGACCAUAACAUAAUGAUAUAUUAUCCUAGCUCCGCUGGUGGAGGAAUGAAAGAACUGUUCCGCAAGGUUGGCAAUCGAUCUAGUGAAUUUUAUCCAGACAUUAGGAAGGUGAGGCGAGAUGGAUCUUACAUUUAUGAAGAAUUCAUGCCAACAGGAGGAACAGAUGUCAAGGUUUAUACAGUUGGGCCAGGAUAUGCACAUGCUGAAGCCCGCAAAUCUCCAGUUGUAGAUGGGGUUGUUAUGAGGAAUUCUGAUGGAAAAGAGGUGCGCUAUCCUGUUUUACUAACCCCUACUGAGAAACAAAUUGCAAGGAAUAUUUGCCAAGCCUUCGGACAAGCGGUGUGUGGUUUUGAUCUUCUAAGGUGUGAUUUGGGGGAGGCAAGGUCUUAUGUAUGUGAUGUCAAUGGCUGGAGUUUUGUGAAAAGCUCACACAAGUACUACGAUGAUGCUGCAUGCAUUCUGAGGAAAAUGUUUCUCGAUGAUAAAGCUCCACAUAUUUCAUCCACCAUUCCUGCUAAUCUUCCAUGGAAAGUCAGUGAGCCAGUCCAACCAUUUGAUGCUGUAAGAGAUCGAGAAAGGGGAACUGUUGGCAUAUCUAGGCAAUCAGAAGAGCUGCGCUGUGUCAUAGCUGUUAUACGCCAUGGGGAUCGCACGCCAAAGCAAAAGGUGAAGCUGAAGGUAACUGAAGAAAAGCUUUUAAAAUUAAUGUUGAAAUACAAUGGAGGAAAGGCCCAUGCAGAGGCAAAACUUAAAAGUGCCUUGCAGCUGCAAGAUCUAUUAGAUGCAACAAGAAUCCUUGUUCCACGUGCUAGGUCUGGCCGUGAAAGUGAUAGUGAUGCUGAAAUUGAGCAUGCAGAGAAGCUACGCCAAGUUAGAGCAGUUCUAGAAGAGGGUGGACAUUUUUCAGGUAUUUAUAGGAAAGUGCAGUUAAAGCCAUCCAAUUGGGUCCAUAUUCCUAAAAGUAACGGCAACGGGAAGGAGGAGUAUCCAAUUGAAGCACUGAUGGUUCUCAAGUACGGUGGAGUUCUAACUCAUGCUGGGAGAAAGCAGGCAGAAGAGUUGGGAAGAUACUUCAGAAAUAAUAUGUAUCCAAGUGAAGGACCAGGAUUGCUUCGUCUGCACAGUACAUAUAGGCAUGAUCUGAAAAUAUACAGUUCAGAUGAAGGUCGUGUCCAGAUGUCUGCAGCAGCUUUUGCGAAAGGUCUUCUUGAUUUGGAGGGGGAGUUAACUCCAAUUCUGGUUUCACUUGUCAGUAAGGACUCUUCUAUGCUUGAUGGACUUCAGGAUGGCUCUAUUGAGAUAGAUGAAGCGAAGGCUCGUUUGCACAAUAUUAUCCUUUCUUCAAAAAUUGCAAAUGGUGAGACUAUGGAGUUCCCAUGGAUGGUUGAUGGAGCUGGAGUGCCUCCAAAUGCUGCUAACCUUCUCACAAAUUUGGCUCAAUUGACCAAGGAAAUAACUGCACAAGUGAAGCUGCUUUCUGACAAUGAAGAUGAAGAGGCUGUGACAGAUAGUGACUCACCAAGUCAUCCUUAUGAUCAAGCAAAGGCACUAGGGAAAACAGCAAUUGAUAUGGACCGCAUUGCUUCUGGAUUGCCUUGUGGCAGCGAGAGCUUCCUUUUGAUGUUUGCCCGUUGGAAGAAACUAGAGAGGGAUCUCUACAACGAAAGAAAAAAACGUUUUGACACUACGCAAAUACCUGAUAUAUAUGACUCUUGCAAGUAUGACCUCCUUCAUAACUCACAUCUCAAACUUAAUGGUUUGAGUGAUCUCUUCAGAGUUUCUCAGUCACUAGCUGAUGGUGUAAUUCCAAAUGAGUAUGGAAUAAAUGCGAAGCAGAAACUCAAAAUUGGUUCAAAGAUUGCACGCCGUUUGUUGGGCAAGAUUCUGAUUGACCUGCAUAACACCAGACGAGAGGUUGCUGCUGCUGGUGGUGAAUCUAAUGCAUGCCAUGAUCCAACAAUAGUGCCUUCUUCAAAACGGAAGGAUAGGGGUUACUAUGGGGAUGUUAAGAAUGAGGGUUUUGAUAGACCUAACUCAAACAAGAAGUCAAUUGAUCUUGAUGAUUCGCACAAAGAAACCAAAUACUGCUUGGAUCCAAAAUAUGCCAAUGUGAUGGAACCUGAACGACGUGUUCGAACAAGGCUCUAUUUUACAUCAGAAUCACAUAUACAUUCUCUAAUGAAUGUACUUCGAUACUGCAAUUUUGAUGAAUCUAUGGAUGGAGAAGAAAGUCUUGUUUGCAAAAAUGCUCUAGAUAAUCUGUUUAAAACAAGGGAACUUGACUACAUGAGUUACAUUGUAUUGCGUAUGUUCGAGAAUACAGAGGUUUCUUUGGAAGACCCAAAAAGGUUUCGCAUAGAAAUGACAUAUAGUCGUGGUGCAGAUAUAAGUUCCUUACAGAGCGAACAUGGAAAAGAUUCAUUGCUACCUGAUGAUCACACUAUGAAAAUUAUGGAGCCAGAAAGAUUGCAGGAAGUUGGAUCAUAUCUCACCUUGGACAAAUUUGAUAAAAUGGUUCGUCCAUUUGCAAUGCCAGCUGAAGAUUUCCCCCCAGCUGCCCCUUCUCAAUCUUUGGCAGUCCGUUUCUGCAAGGAUAAUGGAUUGCAAGGCGCAAGAUUGUGCCAAAAAAUACCACCAAAACAUUCUUCUCCAAUCUUAUACCACAGAGUGAGCCUGAAGGUUUAAGAAAUGUCACAACAUUGUAUGAACCAGCUAAGAGAGGGGAUCAAUGCUGGAACUAUCGUCACUGCACGAGUAUAUAACGCUAAUGAAUUAAAAAUUGACUAGUGCCAAUGGAUACUCCAUUAAUCAGAUAGCGUUAUGAGGCUGUCUGCUUCUGCAAUCAAUCAGAAAUCAUUAGAAGACUGCUUACGUCUGGGAACAAUCAGCUUAACUAGUCAUAUUGACACAAUGCUAUGAAUAAUCAUCAACAAACCAGUCAGAUGUCACUCAAGAUAAGUCAGACAUGGUGAGUGGUAUGCCAAAAAGGAAGACAAAAAAGCUUCAAGAAUAGCAUGUUCAACACGCAGGCCAGCAAGAUAAGUCAGACAUGGUUUGAUAUUUCUGUUAACAAAAGUCUCAGGUAAAUGGUUUACCAAUAGAAUGUUGAUAAAGCACUUGCCUUGAAGAGAGGUUAAUAGUGAGUCUGCAAAAUGCUGCAUGAGUGCCAAGCACUGAAGAUCAUGCAGCUGGAACAAUUUUGUCAGUUCUGAGAAUGUAACCUGAUAGAGCUGUUUUGCAGACAGUGUAAUUGCGUAAAUAAUAGGUUACACGUGUAUCUGGAUAAAAUUUUCCGUAUAUAUACAAGGUGGUCAUAUUAUGUGCCUUUAAAAUUA